AUAGAAAAGAGAGACUCUUGCGGCAAUAAAAAACAAAACGUAGCGUAAUCUUCUGCUUCAACUGUAGGUGGCUGGCCCCGAACAUGGCAAUGUAUCAUUCAUGCACGCUGAGCAAAGAACACAUCGUUUUGCUUCUAAGAGAACAGGCCGCCGCAGUUCAAAGGAACGCGUAGCGAGCGCUCUACUUUUUCACUCGGAGUGGCUCCACCGCGCGCGCGCGCGCUCAAGAUCGCGGAACAACACAGCAGCGGAGAAAGGUCACGUGAGAAAGGUGAUCCGUCCACCAUAGCGUCCACCGAGCAACAGCGAAGGCCAGCCAAGGGAGAUCGUGUGUCAGCCAUCUCGCGUCGCAACGAAAACACGACAGUCGUUCGUCAUGCCUUGGAUAUAACAACAAAUCCUCCACGGCACCCGCUUUAUAUAACGCAAGAAGGCAGCUGCAAGGACACGAGGAUGUGAAAGAGCCAGUGCAGCGCGACUUCACGUAGUGCAGAGGAGCCAUUGCCAAAAAAUCAAAAUACAUUGACAUGUUAUUUGGACAAGAAAACUAGUAUGUGGGUAUAUUGGGUGUACCAUUUGACCAAAUGUCAACAAAAUCAAGAUACAGUAUGUUACACGAAGAUGAAAAUUCUCACGUGCUCCAGGCAGUCAUCUUAACAUGGUAUAUUUAUGUAAUGUCUCUGAUUGGAAAGUCAAAUCAAGUAUGCUCUCUGGAGACAAACACAUAGCAGCAAGUGUCAUUGAAAAGUUAAAAAUGUGUUUUAAGAAAGCUGAUUAGUUCUGAGAAGUGACUGCUUUUUGUCUUGCCUCUCAACAGAUAUAUCCAUGUGAUCAAAAAAUAGUGGUACAAUGAAAUUGCAUAUUUGCUUAGCGACAUGAUACAUACUUGCAAUGAGCACGGUGCCUGUGUUUACUAUAAAAAGCAGCAGCCCAUGCUUGGUUAGGUUAGGCCCACUACAACAUGCAGGCAUGGGUGAUUGGCGCUUUUUUUAUUUCUGUGUCGUGAGGUUUAUUGACGUGCGUAUAGGUGCAGUGGCACGCAGUAUGGCUAGUACAAAAAAGGGGGGGGGGCAGAUAUAUGUAGCUCACUGUACACGACACAGGGCAAAGGAAAUCCGUGUUCAGUAACUAUGUUAAAUGCCAUGUACGUAAAUUUUACAACGCUACUCGUUCGAAGCGCGCACAGGUGCAUAUUGAAGAAAAGUUUACAGGGUAGAUAAUUUAGUUUGUAAUUUACACUAAUUUUGCUCUAACCACGAGACAUAAUAAUUUGAAUAUACUGCACGGAAAAACCUAGAGCGAAUUAAAUUGUGUGUCAGCUUCGUGUGUAUACAUAUAGUCUUUCCUAUGCAUUAGGUUUUUUGCGUAAUGCAUUAACAGUUGACGGCCUAUCUUAUGAUGUGUACUCUGUUUACAUUACAGUUGUUUAUUAGUUUACUCGUUUGUUUUGCGACUGAUGAAAUGCCGGCAUAUAUAUAUUUUCAACAUUUGACACAACCCUGUAUGUUUUGCAGGGACAACCCAGGACGUGCAUUUAUCAGCACCCAGUCAACUGCCAAAAGUGACUCAAACACAGGCCACCAGUGGAACUCGGCUGUACCACUGCAGUGCUGCGGAAAUUGCCUUCACCAGCGGCUUUGCAACAGCUGUUUCGCAGCAUGUCGGAGACAAUGCCUAUGAAAUUAUUGGCCCUGAUCAUGAGAGCCCUCAAGGGGCAAACAACAUCUCUGUUGCAGAAGUGAGCCCCAUACCACUUGGAAGUUACCAUGACAGAUGACACGGCAGCAAUAGAUACAGAGACUGCCAUGUCUACUGCAGCUGCAACAGUGUACGAGGCAAGCAGCAGCGCGUCAGCAUCAGCAGCAGUGUCAGAAGGAACCACACCAGGCCUGGUAGAGCAACAUGUGUGCUAUCACUGACUUUUUUUGUAGUGGAUACAACUCAUUUGCUCAACAUACAAAAGCUUUUCACCACGACUGUGAGCCAGUGUUAUUGUGCAGCAAGUGCAAGACUAAGUUAGGUGUUAUAACACAGUACAAGCAUCACUUUAAUAUAUGCAAAUGCAAACAUAUUACAGUUGUUGCCUCCCCAGCCAGCCCACAUAGUGACAACAAUGUGGAACACAUGGUGGGACACACCUCUCCCCCAUUACAAGAUAGUAGAGACUGUCAGUGUUGUUGCUAGAUUGACUGGUCUUUGUAGGCAACUAGAAGGACAACACAGGUGUCAUAAGAUUGUUGUUGAUGUUGUUGUUGAAGAGGUAAAAAAGAAGUUUGAUGCAGCUGAAGUGCCAACUGAUAUUGAGCAAAUCAAAAGCAACCACCUGAUAAAGCAACACUAUCGAAAUUUGGGUAUAUAUGUGCCGCCAACUCUGGUAAGAAUGGCAUAGGACAGAAGUGUGAUGAAAAUCACACAGACACUGCUGUUGCAUCAUUGGCCACAGUGAGCAGCGACUUGUAGGGCAAGAGAGUCAACUGAAACUAACAUUAUGAUAUAGUGUCAUGCUCCCAUGUGACCACUUUUCAAGUUAUUUUGCAAGAUACAGCUCAACCUCCAGAAACGAGACUGCAACUUGUCUCUAAAAAAGCUUUCACAAAAAAUUAUUCAUAACACUAUUAACAUAGCAGUAUCUUUUUUUUGUGUUGGUUCGAGGUUCCCGGCUGUCCAUUAAUGCAAAAAUUGAGGAAAAAAAGAAUGUGUCGUACUUACACCUUUUUAACAAGUACGAGGGGGACAGAACUUUUCUAGUCAUGCAUCUUCAUCAUACUAUCAAGUUUUUAAAUGCCUUUUAUAAUUAUUAUUACCAUUUAUAUCUGAGUGCAUUGUAUGCAUGUAGCAGGUGUAAAAUCAGGUCAGUUGGAUCAGAUGCCUUAUCUGCAAGCGAGCCCUAUGUUCAAGAAAUUUGAAUUAAAAUAGUUACGUUAGAGACGCAGUCUUUCAGCACUUUAUUGCCUGUGGUUUAAGCAUUGCUCAAUACUUUUGUGGGUGCCAAUUUCAACCGGCACAGCACUGCGCUUUGCCACAGUCACAUUUGUCUUCAAAGCGGUGUUUACCAUUUGUUGAUCUGUUUGUGUAUGCAUAGAGCAAGUUUUUAAUUUAUAUUUUUCUGCAUUCUUGUGCUUGCACUAAGCUUGUAUAAGGCAGUUACAAAAUGUGCGUCACUAUAACGAACUGUUCUGUUGAGCUUACACUUGCAACGCUAGCUUUGUGUAUGUUCUCAUGUUUGUACAAAGCUUAUAUAAGCUAGUUAGAAAAUGUAUGUCACUAAGCAUUGUGAUAUUCUUUAAAGAACUGCUUGGUUGGUUUUACACUUGUGAAUUAGUAUUGAGGCGGUGGUAUUCCCAUGUAUGCCCACUGCUAGCUUUCUGUGUCCUCACGUGUUUGUAUUAAGUUUCUACAAGGGAGUUACAGCAUGUACGUCACUCAGCGCUGUGAUAUAUUUUAAAGAACUGCUUUGUUGGUUUUACACCUGUGAGUAAUAGUACUCGGGUGGCACUAGUCAUGUGUAGGUACACAGGGACCAUUUGUAUACAUUAUGCUUAUGUAAAGCAGUUACAAAGUGUAUGUCACUAAUUACUGUGAUAUUUGUUGAAUUGCUGUGAUGGUUUUACACAUGUGAAUAAUAGUGGUCAGGACACAGUACUUGCGGUGUAUAGUUGAAUUUAUACACUGCCAAGACAUGGGCUGUAUACGUACCAAAAGAAAUGUAUGUCAUUAUAUUGUUGUGAUUAUUACUGUUUGGAUUUCAUUAAACUGUAAUAAAAUUGUUUCUUGUA